UACGGAGAGUGCGAGCGUUGUCCGGAAUCAUUGGGCGUAAAGGGCGCGUAGGCGGCCCCUCAAGCGGGCGGUGAAAGCCGGGGGCUCAACCCCGGAUCGGCCGCGCGAACUGGGGGGCUGGAGCACUGUAGAGGCAGGCGGAAUUCCUGGUGUAGCGGUGAAAUGCGUAGAUAUCAGGAGGAACACCGGUGGCGAAGGCGGCUAUCUGGACAGAAACUGACGCUGAGGCGCGAAAGCUAGGGGAGCAAACAGG
rnacentral:rRNA from 1 species